GCGAGGUGGGAGGAUCGUUCGCCCCCGGUGGUGGGAGACGUUUAAACUUGAAUGCGAGCACGGUUAAAAUUCUCUGUUUGACAUCGGCACUAAAAACGCAUUAAUUUACUGUUGCUGUACUAAAACUUUAUUACGGCCGGACGAAUGAUUUUAGCAAAAUGUCCGAAUGGUUAUCAUUUCUGAGUUAGCGUAUCAAAGAGACGGCGAUGAACCAUUACAAUAAUAUUUAGUGCCAGAUGUUUUGUGGCAUAAACCUUAGCUAUUGUUAAGACGUUCCUAUCAUCCUCUGUACCGGAUCUAUUUUUUCCUAGUUCUGCGGGGUCGGUUAUUUUGAAAAGUACUUAAACUACAAGGUGUUUCAGGAAAGUCCCCGUAAACAGCUGAAAUAUAAUCCCCUGCUGUCAAAUGCAAAAUUAAUCCGGUACUGGUGAACCCAUUUUUUGGGAACGCCCACAACCUGCAAUUUGAGUGGGAGAGUUACCAGCGAAUAACAAUCGGCAAAGCUCGUGAUUAUCUUUCUGAGUGAAAUCCAACCUACUUUUUUUUAGAGAGAGUCAAUUUGAAUAUAUGGUUUGAAACUCUUUCUCUCUUGAUUAUAAUAUGGAAACUAGUUUUAGUUUCAUUAACCCGCUUUUCCACCGGAUUUCGAAAAUAUUUUCUAUAUGAAAAUAUAUGAAACGGAAUACUUGUUUUAUAUUUAUAUUUUCUCCCAAAAAGGUUGUCCAGACACUCCAUUCUCCAUUCUCCAGUGCAAAUCGUCCGAACCGAACACAGUCUUGGCAUUUUGGAAAACUUAGUUUGUACUUCCGAACAUAAAGAAAGACAACAGAAGCGGAAAGAGAGAUGUAGUGAGCCACCCCGUUAAUAUUUCCGAGGCCCGAGCAUCCCGUACUCGUCUUCUCAGAAGGCUUAACCACGCAUUUUCAUUGCACACGUUAACAAGUUAUCAGCUCCACCGUCAUUCGUAUACCCAGGGCUAUGCGCUUACCCGAAGCUCUGGUAAAGCCAUGUGAAUAACAGCUCUCAUUCCGUCUAAUAGGUCGCAGAGAUAAAAUUCAGUUAAAAAACUUGAUGAAUAUUUAGUCAGUUACAUUAGUAAGAAUAUAGCUUAUUAUAUAUAAGACAAGAUUACAAAUUUCCUACACAUUAAUUAUUAGUUUUAGGUACGCUAUAAAACAGCAAUUAAGGCUUCGUUCGAACAACAAAAUUUGACGGAGCAACAUCCCAUUUGCUAAUUAAAUGAAAGCAUCCGAUAGCUAAAGCGCUAUAUAAAGUUUAAACACUGAAUUUACUCUUAGGCAAGAAUUAACCUUCUUGAUCAAUGAUUUUUAUAGUUUCACUUUUGAAUUAAGACAUGAAUAGCACUCAAAACAUAAUGGCAUGCAGUCUAUACAGAACCCAAUAAUUAUGCCCAAACUCUCCGUAUGAAUAAUAAUGAUGGCAUGAAUUUACUAAAACACAGCAGUCAGCAGGGUAAAUGCUUUUUAAAGACAUCGAACAUCUGCGGGCUUGUCGCCAUUAUAUAUAUAUAUAAACUCUAAUUACUUUUUUUAACUCUGCAAGUAAACAUGAAACAAAUCUUGCAACAUUUUCUCGGACCUCACCUUUUAUAUUUCGUUGAACUAUACUGUAUGUCUGCGACAACUGAGCAAAUCUGGCUCGUAUUAAACUAUAGCCAAUCCACAAUUAAACGUGGGGCUCGUUUUGCUCAAGGAUUAUUCCAAGAAUCAAAACCGGAACGAAAAAAAUCAUCGGUAAAUAGUAUAUACCACUUCAGAGGCAACUUUUAAAACGUUUUGUUUAUCAAAUGCAUGUGACCAGUGCUACAUUAAUAUGCUCUUACAGAUCGUGAAGAUAUAAAGUCAAAGAUCUUUGUGUCUGACGUAGGUAUAUAUAUAUUUAUAUAUAUCUAUAUAUAUGAUAUAUUAAUAAAAUCUGGUAGAACUAUAGAAGUUGACUAUUCAAUCUAGGCCAUCUCUUGCUUCUCCUCUACUCUUAUAUACGUAUAAAGCAAAAAAAUACAGGCCCAUAUACGCGGUUGGUCGUGUUUAAAAUGUAAAACUGAGCCAGUCGUGAGACUGAAAAACAACAACAUAGGUCAUAGCAACAGCAGUAUGCAUACUUUUAUCCGAUAAACAUCGGUGUGUAAUAACAUGAAUUAUAUAAUUAGCUUUUAUAGCCUUUGGGCUUGGCUUGGAAAAAACAAGACGAAGCGUCUAGAAUCAUGAAUCAUGAUUAUAAGCGACGGUGAUAUAAUAAUGGCUCAAGAAGCGACAAAGAUUUGCUCUAAAAUUAUGUUAGAUUGCUUCCCUUGUAUAUUUGCCUUUGUAAUUACACUAAAUUAAUUUCGUAGCCUUAGGCUCAGGCGAAUAUCAUUGAAUAAUUAAGUAAACCCGAGGUCACUUGAGACCACAAUUUUCGAAAAUCACCUCAGUCGUAAUUACACUAUCAUUAUAACUAUAAGUAAUUUUUUUUGGAAGUGUGGAUAUAAUAAUGCUAAAUGGUUAUAAAUUGCGCAGGCAUCUAACCUCGCCCAUCCUCGAAUAACAACCGACCAUAAAUUACUAUCCUGGAGAGAUAUGUCUUGCAUUAUAUAAUUACACAUGCUAUAGUGUGUUUAACAAAAAGGAAACAAAUCGUUUACUAAAACGAUAAAUAACAACUUCCAUGUUUUUUUAUUUCAAAGUGCAAUGCUAACUUGGGAACUUUGUAAAUUUUUUCUAAGGUUGAUCAGAUUUGUUGAAAGUGACAACUUCAAUAAUGUUUGAAAAUAAAACAACUUCCUAGCACACGCAUUGCUUGAUAUCAAAUAGAUUAGCAAACGAACAGCAUGAAGUACUGAUAGGAACGUGGGAAUUAGACAUGAUGCAGAGAAUGAAUGGGUGAUUAGUCAGGAUAAGUAGAUUUUAAUUACAAUCGCAAUCGUAUCUUCACUAAAUCUAUCGAAACAAUACGUAAAUACUUGCACGAAGCUAUAUAGGGACUGGUUAAUUAAUGAAUGCUUUCAACUUGUUUUAACUGCACACUAAAAUGGUGUUUUAAAGAGCGUUUUUUAAAUUUAUAAAAUCUUUCACUAAUGGCGGAUAAAAUUUUCAAAAUCAUAAAUCUGUAAAUUACAAUAAGGGAUUUUUUUCAAAAUACAUGGAAUCGAUUUUUCCAUCCUCCUGAAUAUCAUCCUUCAGACAAAACUGUCGUUAUAUAUAAUUAUAAUAGACAUGUGAAUUUCUAAACAAUAAAUACAACUGGUUUAACUCUUCAGAAAUCUCAGAAAUCUUCCCUGCAGCAACAUUUAGAAAGGAUGGCUAUACGUCGACAUUAUAAACAACUAAACACAAAAAAUUCAUAAAAUUUGAUUAACCCAUAUAUAGCUUAGUGGUAAUAAAGCAUUCCCUUGAAUGGGAUGUACUUUCACAGUUCACAAAACAGCACGUGCAUGUAGCAGUAAAUGCUUAUUAUUUGUGUUUCCGACAUUUAAAUUCUCGUCCAGAGCACCAACAAAAUUUUGCCAAAAUUUUGUAGUUGUGUUGGAAAUUUUCAGUUGUCAAAAUUUUCUACUUUAAAGAUUUCUAAAUGAUAGAGAAUCAAGAAUCAAAAUUUUCCAGGCAUGCAUAUUCAUUGUAAAAGGCCAAAGGUGUGAAAAUCACAGUACGAGCGGCGUUAAAUGGAGUUACACCCACUCCAUUAGGACCACUUAUUUGACAAAUGAUUAUAGCUCAGGAUAUUUUAAUAGGAAAUGAAUAUUUUAGUUGUUAGUGUACUUAACAUUAUGUCUGUGAUUAUGUCUGUGAUUUGCGUUAACUGUGGGCACGGUUGAAAACAAUUCUCUUUAUAUUUUACUUUCUUAUAGCCUCAAAAUAAAAAAUGGGCACUUAUCAUGGGAAAAUAUUAAUAUUAAAUUACCAUAAAACAACAAUGCGCGAGUGAUAUUAUCCGCCUUGAGUGGGAGCAGAUCUAUGAGGAGACUGAGUACAGGAAUCCGUUCCGCAAAAGCGAGGGUAAAUCUUUGUUAUAAUCAGGUGAUAUUGGAUCUUUUUUUAUAAUCCGUAUAUAUAAGUGAGAUUUUAUGGCUUCAACUAGUAAAUGUUAAAAAUGCAAUCACCAUAGCGUAAGAAUAUCAGGCUUAAAUAAAAAGACGCAGCUCUAUAUAUUAUUAAUAUCUCUACCCUAUUAGUACUACUCCUGGUGCUCCGUCAUCGUAACAGUACAGAGUGUAGAUAUUACAAAACACAAAUUUUAUUAGUAACAUUUUCCUGGCCAUGAGCCUAUAGUAUCUAUUGAUGUGUCCUCCAUUCAAAAAGAGUAUAUCAUCUGCUGGACUGCCGUUAACGCCCCUAUUUUUUAUACUGAAGUUUUUUAAAAAGAAAUCCCCCAGGUUGAACCUUACUUAGUAUAACUGUUGCUAUUUAUACCGAGCAAAAUAGCUCCAGGACAUAAUUUAUUGAUGAAAACGUGCGUAAAUCCGUAAGUAAUUCGAGUGAAGGUUCCUGUUUUUUUUUAGAAGUAAGAGCCUCGUUAUAAAAAAAGGAAAUCAUGAAUAUAAUCAUGAAUAUAAUAUCAUGAAUAUAUUAUAUCAUUUCAUAAGCAAAGAUGGCUGUUUUAUAGUCUGCUAUCAUGUAAUGUACAUCAGCAGCAAAUCCACUGAGGCCAAUGUACUACGGCUUCACCAAUAUAGCCGACUAUAUUUCAUACGUCAGAAGUCAAUUGGAUCCACAAAAUCGGAUCGUGUGAACAGACCUUUAGAAGGGGAACGUCAAAGACGACGUGAGAAUGACGAAUAAAUGACGUGGCGCGUCCAUAUUUGAGUACAUCGCGCCGUUUUCACGUGCUCAUUCUAAACCAGUCUGCUGUGAUUUCAUUUCUCCU
rnacentral:lncRNA from 1 species